UGUCCUUAACUCAAAAAUUUAGUUUUCAAUUAUUUAUUUACUAAAUUUUGAAAACCCGGCUAAGUGAAUCAUAGAAUAUUAAGCACUACACCAUGACUUAAGAUUAGCUUCACGAGACCUAUUAAGAAUAGAAUUUCUUGUAGGCUUUGUGACCAGGGGGAUUAGCGCUGCUUUCCCAAGACAGGUUUAUAUGUGAUUAUGAUCUUCAGGCUUUGCCUAACCAGGCUUUGUGACCAGGGGGAUUAGCGCUGCUUUCCCAAGACAGGUUUAUAUGUGAUUAUGAUCUUCAGGCUUUGCCUAACCAGGUUGGCUGGCUGGUGCUGACGGGACGGAGCUGAGGCUAGCGAUAAAUUCCUAUGUUAGACUUCCGCUGUAGCAAUUACUCAUAUCAGUCUUUUGUUUUUCCAACUUAAGAUCUUCAUGUUAAAUUUCAAAUGAUAUACCUGACC